rnacentral:rRNA from 1 species
ACGAACGCUGGCGGCGUGCUUAACACAUGCAAGUCGAACGGAAAGGCCCUGCUUUUGUGGGGUGCUCGAGUGGCGAACGGGUGAGUAACACGUGAGUAACCUGCCCUUGACUUUGGGAUAACUUCAGGAAACUGGGGCUAAUACCGGAGAGGAGCUCCUGCUGCAUGGUGGGGGUUGGAAAGUUUCGGCGGUUGGGGAUGGACACGCGGCUUAUCAGCUUGUUGGUGGGGUAGUGGCUUACCAAGGCUUUGACGGGUAGCCGGCCUGAGAGGGUGACCGGCCACAUUGGGACUGAGGUACGGCCCAGACUCCUACGGGAGGCAGCAGUGGGGAAUAUUGCACAAUGGGCGGAAGCCUGAUGCAGCAACGCCGCGUGCGGGAUGACGGCCUUCGGGUUGUAAACCGCUUUCGCCUGUGACGAAGCGGGAGUGACGGUAAUGGGUAAAGAAGCACCGGCUAACUACGUG